AAGAAGCCUGGUGGAUAUUUGUUUGCAGUCUGAUGAUGGGACAUCAUGCUCUGCAUCUUCAAAGUUUGUCUCUUGAUUAUUAUUCAUACACAGUAAUGUGAAUUAUGCUUAUAUCUAGUAUAACUGGACCAACCUGGUGCUCUUCAUUUAUGGAGGCUGUUGAGUCUGAAUGUUGGAUGUUGUGUAUCUCUUGUUCUCUGGGCUUUGUUGUCCUCAGUCUUUUUGCAGGAUCAGAAAACAAAACCAGGAUGACCGUAAAUGUUUCUUCUCCAAUUGGAUGAUGAUAAGACCGUGACACGGUAUGCCACCUUUAGUCUUGUGAUGAAGCAAAGCUCAGGACGAAGUAUGAUUAAAUGGUACCCACAUGUGUGCUGCUGAGAAGGAUGUACAAGGGCACCUGCAGCCAAAUCCAAGCCUCCUCAGAGCAGAGCGGCAGUUUGUGCUCACAGAUGGAGACGGUGUGGAGAGACGGUGGUGUUUCCUCUGAAGAACUAGCAGAGUCACCAAGGGCACGAGUCCAUCUCACCACCUUGACUUGCUGACUGAUGCUCGUCUGCACUGCACAGAGGAAAUCAACUGACCGAGGAGUGUUUCUGGGUGAGGGAGAGAGGAGUCAUCAUCCAGGUAAAGUGACGUGGAUCAGUGGACACACUUGUCUCCCCUUUAAAGGAAAUACUCUUAGAGAGAGACGAUCCGAGUCAUCCCUAAAUAUGGGCAGGAUGUCAGUCUUGGACUGUCUAACCUGGCGGAGCAGCACUGAAUGACCACCACACAUGAGCAUGUUCCUGCAACAUUCAGCAGCUUUGCUUUUGUGUCAAAUGUCAAACAGCUGGAGAGGAAACUAAACCAGUACUGGGAUGUUUCACCAACACGUGCCAGAUGCUGUUCCUUCAUGGUGACAUCACCAGAGACAGCCCCGCCCACCUCAGGACCUCGCCAUUGAUCAUGAUGAUUAUAAUCGGAACUAAGACUGUACAAAUCCACGACCAGAAUGUUUAGAUGCUUUCUAAUUAUUAAUGAAUACUGAGAGCCUCUUUCUGUGUUUUGUCUGUUUUGGGGUUUUUUUUUACCUCAUUUGUUACUAACAACGUUCACCAAACUCACACAGUUUACAUUCUGUAUGUUUCCAUCUUUACCAGCCACACUCUGCCUGCAUUUAGAAAACAAACCUUAGAAAUCGUCGUUUUUCUCUUUUGUAAUUUUGUAAUUCAGUGAAUAUACUGCGCUGCUUCCUUUUAUUGCAUCACACAUUGCUUUAAGUUUUUCAGUGUCCAGUUACUUUUUACUGCUGUUUGAA